GAGACGUCAGAGAAGAUACAUCGCGUAGCGACAUAGGAAAUAUAAUUUCUCACUAACGCGGACACACAUACACACAGGUAUAUUAGUAUCGGAAAAAAACCGAGAGCACCGCAUACUCUCUAAAAGAGGAUAAUGGAUAAAUCGUUCGAGCGAGCGAGCAAGGAAACAAGAAAGCAAGCGAGCAAGCAAGCAAACUAGCUAGCCAGAGCUAGCUAGCCAGCUAGGAAACUAGCAAGCAAGCGAAUCAAAGCAAAGCGAAGCAAAGCAAAGCAAAGCAGAGCAGAGCAGAGCAGAGCAGAGCAGAGCAGAGUAGAUCAGAGCAGAGCAGAGCAGAGCAAAGCAAAACCAUUGGCAGAAGAAUCUCAAGCAAAACCGAUUAUGAACAUUAAGUACACGCUGGCUGAAAAGCAGGCCGUGCUAAGAAUAGGAAUACCCAUGCAUGGAAAUAAUGGCGGAUCUUGGAAAUAUCACGAGGAACGGGCUGACGGAUAGAAAACUAAAAUGGUUUAA